CGGUAGGGUGCAAGCGUUAAUCCCGGAAUUACGUGGGCGUAAAGCGUGCGCAGGCGGUCGUGCAGGACAGGUGUGAAACUCCCCGGGCUUAACCUGGGAACUGCACUUGUGACUGCACGGCUGGAGUACGGCAGAGGGGGAUGGAAUUCCGCGUGUAGCAGUGAAAUGCGUAGAUAUGCGGAGGAACACCAAUGGCGAAGGCAGUCCCCUGGGCCUGUACUGACGCUCAUGCACGAAAGCGUGGGGAGCAAACAGGAUUAGAUACCCUGGUAGUCCACGCCCUAAACGAUGUCAACUGGUUGUUGGGAAGGUUUCUUCUCAGUAACGUAGCUAACGCGUGAAGUUGACCGCCUGGGGAGUACGGCCGCAAGGUCG
rnacentral:rRNA from 1 species